CCCGGUUUUUUUUUUUAGCACGAGUCUGCAGGAAGUUCAAAGAUGAAAAACCCUUCUCCUCCCACUAUAUCUUGGUUAGAUUCAAUCAAACUUUUAUCAUUUUAGUCCUAUACGAAAUUGAUAUGAACUGCAGCCGAUUAAAUUAUAUACAGAGUUAUCCAGCAUAUUAUUAUAUUUUAAUAAUAUUCGGAAUAAAUUAUUAGUCCAAAUAUACUAUUAUUGGUAAACAUAAU